GGCCACAGUUAAUGGCAAACAGAGCCCACAAACCCGUGGAAGCCCCUUUAUUGUUUUCAGGUGAAAAGCAGAAGUUCCCGGUGCUAAUGGAUUCCCGUGGCUAAUGGGGGCUCGAUGCAAUUAUUUAUCCGAGAGAGACAGUCUCAACAAACUUGAUCCCUGCCCCCAGGACUGAACUUGAUGCGGGCAGGUAAAGAGUUAAGCAGGUUCAAGGAUUCCCCCUGCUGCACCUUUUCUACCUUGCUCCACUGCCAACAGAACACUCCAGCUGAAAGACCCACGCCUCUGUGGACCCCAGCGCCGGGACAAAUCAGCUUUAACCCAUCAAACAGGAAAGCAGAAACGCAUUCAGAAGCGGGGCGAGGGGAAAAGAGGGGGAAGAGAAACAGAAGACCAGAAACUAAUCUCUGAUUCAGUACCAUUUCAAGGGCUUGAGAGGAGGCCCUGGUUUUGCUAAGGGCUUUUUUUCAAGAGUUGAAAGUCUUCUCUUCAAGCCGGCGGCACCAGAUCGCAAAACCCCCAACCUUGUGUACGACAUAAACACACCCCAGGCAACUCUCAACUGCAAGAGCUGGAAUCUGGUACUGGUACACUGACAGGAGACCCAGACGAUCCCACAGCCUGGGAAGAAGGGUCUGGGGCUCUGCAGAGCCAAAGGAAAGAGAGCAACCGGAUUUUCUAGAAGGCACAGUCUGCACAAGCGGCCAGCCGACAGGUCGCCUUGCUGAAGAAGCCACAUAACCUGAUAUAAGUCAGCUCUGGAUCUGUUCUCUCGCCCCACCCCCAGGAAGCAAGUCAUCAAGCGGAGCCCACACACAGCAGGAAGCUGGGGCAGGAGGCAAGAUAAAGCUGUACCUCCUGGAGGGCCAAGUGUCUGCAUAACUGUCAUUCUUCUGUAAGUAAGGUCCUUCCUCCUUCCCUUCCUUCCUUCCUUUUCUUCACACAUGUAUGUAUCUAUCCAUGUAUGUCUUAUUAAGCUAAGCAUGAGUUCAUUCUGAUGUCUCUGACUCUUAACUGGUACCACAUAGUUCAUUCUAGGGAGUAAUAUUUUAAAAUAUUUUCCAUAGAUAUGUUUCAUCAAUGCAGUUAUAAUUUUACGUGUAUCAUCAUGGGCAUCACCUUUCUCUCAAAACCUUCCGGUGACUCAUCUAUUGCGUGCAGACUCAAAUAUCAAUUCUCAACUUACAUACCCAUUUUUACAACUUUAUUGACAUGUGUAAUUGAUAUACAGUAAAUUCAUGCUUGAACUGUAUAAUUUCUUGUUUUGCCUUUAAGGCCAUAGCCACAAUCAAGUGAGUAAAUAAAUUAUCCAUCAUCCCCAGAUGUUUCCUCAUGAACCUUUUAGCAGUUUCUCUCUCCUUCCCUUUUCUGCCCAAGCAACCACUGACCUGCUUUCUGUCAUUAAAGAUUAGUUUGUAUUUUGUAUAAUUUUAUAUAAAUGGAAUAGUGGGAUUGUACACUUUUUGUCUGUCUGCCUUCACUUUGCAUAGUUAUUUUGAAACUCAUCCAUAUUUUGCAUAUAUAAAUAUUGAUUUCUUUUUUAUCAUUGAGUACUGUGCAACUAUAUGGAUAUACCACAAUUUGUUUAUCCAUUUACCUGUUGUUGGGCAUAUAGGGUUUUUUAGGUUAUGGCUAUGACAUAUAAAGCUGUCACAAAUAUUUAUGUACAAGUCUUUGUACAAACAAUGAAAUGUCCGGACCAGAUGGCUUUACUAGUGAAUUUGACCAAAUAUUUAAAGAAUAAUUAAUAACCAAUCUUUUAUAAACUUUUCAAAAAAAUAGAAGAGGAAAGAAUGCUUCCUAAUUCACUCCGUGAGGCCAGAAUUGCCCUGAUAUCAAAGUCAGAAGACCGUAUUACAAGGAUAUUAUGCACCAAUAUCAUUUGUGAACAUAGAUGCAAAAAUUCUCAACAAAACACUAUCCAAUGGAAUCCAGUGUCAUGUUGAGAGGACAGUACACCACGACCAAGAGUGAGUUAUGCUGAGGAUGCAGAAGUGGUUCAGGCAAUCAGUGUAACUGAUUACACUAACGGAAGGGGAAACUCGAUCUUCUAGGUUGAUGCAAAAAAGGCUUUUAACAGAAUUCAGCGUAUUUUCAUGGUUAAAACAUUACUAAGAAGCUAGGAAUCAAAGAGAACUCUUUAAACGUGAUGAAAAGCAUGGGGAAAACUUAGCAUAUGACUUAAUUGGGAAAGACUAAGCUUCCCCCUAAGAUCAGAAACAAGACAAGCAUGCCUAUUUUUACUCUUGCUCUUCAGCAUUGUACUGAAAGUCAUAGCCAGAGCAAUUAGACAAGAAAAAAGCAUAAAGAGCAUCCAAAUUGGAAAGGAAGAAGGAAAAUACUAUCUGUAUUUGCAAAGGACAUGAUCCUAAAGAACACACAAGGAAAAAAGUCCAGUAAAGUUGUAGGUUGCAAGAGCAACACACAGAAAUUCAGUCGUGUUUCUAUAGAGCAGUGAUAAACAAUCAAAAAAGUAAAUUUAAAAAUUAAUUUCAUUUAUAGUGGCAUUUAGAACAAUAAAUACCUAGGAAUAAAUUUAACCAAGGAAAUUAAAAACUUUACACUGAAAACUAUAAAAUAUUGCUUAAAGAAAUUAAAGGAGACAAAAAUAAGUGGAAAGCCUUCCUGUGUUUAUCUGUUGGAUGAUUUAAUAUUAUUGGGAUGUUACUACUACCCCUAGCAAUCUACAGAUUCAAUAAAAUCCAGUAACCUUUUCUGCAGAAAUGGAAAAAUUGACCCUCAAAUUCAUAGGAGCCCCCAAUAGCCAAAAGAUCUUGAAGAACUAAAACAAAGUUGGAGAACUCAUACUUCCUGAUUUCAAAAUUUACUGCAAAACUACGCUAAUCAAAACAAUGUGAUAGUGGGAGUUCCUGUCGUGGCUCAAUGGUUAACAAACCCGACUAGUAUCCAUGAGGACGUGGGUUUGAUCCCUGGCCUUGCUCAGUGGGUUAAGGAUCUGGCGUUGUCAUGAGCUGUGGUGUAGGUCACAGACGCGGCUCGGAUCCCACAUUGCUGUGGCUGUGGCGUAGGCUGGCAGCUACAGCUCCGAUUAGACCCCUAGCCUGGGAACCUCCAUAUGCCACUGGAGUGGCCCUAAAAAGACAAAAAGCAAAAACAAACAAAAGAAACCCAAUGUGAUACUGGCAGAGAAAUAUAGAUACACUGUUGAUUUUGGUUUGCUUUUUGUUGAGAAUUAUUGCAUAUAUGUCCAUCAGGGAUGUCAGCUUGUAAUUGUGUGUGUGUGUGUGGUGUCUGCCUGGUUUUUAUGCAAUUCUGGCCUCAUAAAACGAGCUUGGAGAUGUUUCUUCCUUUUCAACUUUUUUGAAUAAUUUAGGAAGAAUAAGUACUACGCCUUCUUUAAAUGUUUGGUUAGACUACCUGUGAAGUCAUCUGAGCCUGUAAUUUGGUUUAUUGGGAGCUUUUUAAAUUACCUGUUUAAUUUUGUUACUAAUACUAGGUCUAUUCAGAUUUUCUGUGUCUUCAUGAUUCAGUCUUGGGAGACUGUAUGUCUCUAGGAAUUUAUCGGUUUCUCCUAGGUUGUUGAAGGCCUGGGGUUACUAGAUGCUGUAGGUUAUGAAGAAUAGCUAGAAAUCUGGACUAUAUAUGAAAUCUUUCAACUUCUACAUGUUGGAAACGAUCCUAAAAGUUAAAACCAUAUGCAGAAAGAAGGAAAUCUCCAACAGGAGCAAUUUGCAACUCGUGCCGCAUUUAAGAAGGGCCUGUAUCCUCCAGAGGACACAGGCUCCGAGUUAAUCCAGGUGUUGAAGCUGCAUGGAGAUUGAUUCUAAUAACAGCGUAUGAAGGAACUUUCUGACAAUUACAUCUGGACAACAAUGGAAUAAUUGUUCCUUCUCAGAAGUGCAUGGGCUUACUGAGGACUUGCAGCCAGCGUGUAGGUGAGCAUCUCUCAGCUAUGUUACAGGCACGAUUGGACUUCACGGGGCCUCAGGCUCCUCCCAUUCUGAGUCUCUAAGUGUACAUACUGAAAACAAGCUGCGAUCUGAUGAAAGUGUCUCUUCUUUGAAUUACACAAUAAAUAAAUCGUUGUUUACGAAGAGCCACUGUGGGCAAAGGUGUAGGCAGUCUGAGCAUGUGGGCUCCAAGAAAAAAUUAUCACUGGGCACAGCUCAGUAAAGUGACUUAGUUAAAGAGUAAGCUUGAAACCUCUUCCCUCCAACUUGUCUUUAUUUGGAAGAAAAAAAAAGGCCCAAAUCUUCUACUAUUUGUUUUUGGCUAUCUGGUUAAAACAAAGCUGAGAUGUGGGUUCAAGUUUUAUUAUCCAUCACUAAAAAGGAAUCGGCUUGUGUUUAUAAUAUACUUCCUACAAUAUAGUAAGCUUUAAAAUGAAAGUGUUUGGAGUUCCCUUGUGGUGCAGCAGGUUAAGGAUCUGGCAUUGUCACUGCAGCAGUUUGGGUUGCUGCUCUGGCACAGGUUCAGUCCCUGGCCCGGGAGCUCCCCCAUGCCACAGGUGUGGCAUAAAAAAAAAUGAAAGUGCUUGUUGCACAGCCUGAAUGGUCAGUAAAUCAAUUGUGUGUGUAUCUAUGAUGUUGUCUGUGACUUGUCACUCAUGCCGUCUCACAAUAAUCAUUUCUUGAAGAACUGUCUCAAUGAGUAUCUGAAAAUGUUAAUGAAUGUGCUAGUUUAUCUGAAAGCAUGUAAAAGGCAAAUACCUACAAGCAAAAUUAUCCCCCAGAUUGAUAACUUGUUCACUGCUGGCUCCUUCCACUAGAAUAUAAACAGGUGUUUUGCUGUUUGUUUUCCUUUGUUUAGUGUAGCAUACCUAGCACCUGGAAUAGCACAUAGUAAGUGCUCAGUAAAUUGCCGGAAGAAUUCUAACGCUUAUUUGAAUGAAGCUUCUUAACUACCAAUUUUGAUGCAAUGGGCAAGCAACAAGGAAAAUCCCUCAAAUCCAAGAAGCACCAGGUUAUGCGACAGGAAAGGGGAAGAAAAGAGGAAGAGAGGGACAGUCACCAGUCCCAUACAUAGAGAGAUGUUGAGUCUCCAGUCCCAUAAUGUUUGCUGGUGCCCAGGCCUGAGGCAGGAUCUGGGCUCAUAACCUCUUUUGAUGAGGUCAUAGUGCUGGUGGCAGAGUAUUUGUUGGAGAGGUGAGUUUUAAAUGCAUGCACAGUCUUUUCAAAUAACUGUUUGCAACUUUUGCUGGGCUCUCACAUUUUGCACACUGUCAGGAAGGGUCCCUCGGACAAAGCCUAGUUCUGUUUUGGCCUGCGGUAACACUUCCAUGACCUGCAGGGGCCAUCAAGCCACGUACGUCUCCCUGUCUCCACCUGCUCCUGCCUCGACCCAACUCGCAGAAGUAUCGGAAAGAGCUUCUUCCCUGUCCUCUUUUUCCCCUUCUCUAACUCCUGGUGAGGAUAACUGCUUAUGCUUCCCGUUAUGAAUGAGGUUCAGCAUAUAAAGGCCUCUGCUCCUCCACCUCCCCUUGGUGUGCUCUCUCUCUUUCUCUCUCUCAACAUUUUUUAAAAUGGCCUGGCCACAGGAUGCACCUGUCCCCUCCCCUCCUGAAGUAAACCCAAGGAGCCAGGUGCUGCCCUUGCUGGGGGAGGCCUACAGCUGUUCUGCCUGUGAGUGGGUGGUAACUUGAAGACCAUUUGGGCCUUGGGUGCAAGCCAAGACUCUUAAUCUAAUUUUACCAGGAGCAAAACCAACGUUUUGCUCCACAUUUAGCUUCUGUGUCUGCCCGUCAUCUAAUUCGCAAAGCCGUCUCAUGAGAGGAGUAUGAUAAAGUAGCAUUCUCCAACUUCAAAAACAAUAAUGGAUUUCAUUUUCCUCAAAAAUGAAAGGUAUUUAAAAGUUAGCAAAUAAAAUCAGCCAACGCUUUUACAUAAUAAUUCUACAAAGUUUUAGCAAGUCUUAAAUCAAGCAUGCCAGCUUUAGUUUCAGAGAAGCGGGGAGCUUUCAAUCUGUUCUUUCCUGUAAGGCAAGUGUCGAGAUCUUUGUGGGAGCCUAGUGAUGGAUACAUUUCAUUCCCACCUAAGGCUCGAACCAGUUAAGAAAUAAGAUGGAUGAGGUGCUGUAUAAAUAAAGGGAUCGUUCACAUUUGCAGGCAAGUGUGAGCUUCCCAAACGAGUCACAGGCAAUGUCAGAGCCCUCCGUUCAUGGUAGCGCUGUCUCUGCAGGGCUUGCAGCAUGGAGGACCACCGGCCAACCCGGGCUUCCCAUGAGCAUCUUGUUCUGAGGAAGGAGGCUCAAGGGGCACAGCUGCCCAUUGGUUCCUCCUUCUGAAUUCCAGCAAAUGAGGAGGAGGAGUCGAAUCAGGAGUGGGUAACAGUCAUUCCCCCUUCAGCAUAAAAGCGGAGGUAGGAGCAGUAUAGACCGCUUAACAGGCAUCUUCAGGCGACUUGCCCAAGCUAAGGUGAGUACCUGGCUGGUUCAGAGCCAGGGGCAGAGCUGGGCACAGCUGAAGCUGAUGGGAAUGUGAAAAGAAGCUGUCUGUACUGCUCACCAACUGGCUCACGAGUUUGCUCUGCCUUCAUUAAUGAAGUAAAAAUUACAUACAGUAAAGUGUAAGAUAUUGCUGACUUUCUCUAUGUAGACAUUCACAUAACCUCCGCAGAUUUGAAAUAUGGAACAUUUUCUAGUCUGCUUUCAAAAAACCUGCCCCACACUUUCUGCUGACCUGAGGAAUAUCCUAGAAAUUGUAUUUCCAUAAAAUUUACUCUCCAUGCUUACUUUAACAAAUGUAAUCUUUAAAUUGUACCCUCUUUAUCAAUGUGAGCAAUCGUUUUAAUUUUUAAGCAUUGAAAAAUUAAUUUUUAAGUUUAAAAAAAUUCAACUUAUCAAGAGGUAGUAUUCUUUCAAAGAAAUGAUUGUCUGUCCUAGGCACUGGCUUCCUUCCUCUUAGAGAGAAAUUAGAAGUUUUCUUUCCCCUUUGGUGACAGCAUCAGAUUUAGAAUUACCUCACCAGUGGAAGGUUUCUCAUCAUUAGUCAACCAGUGACAGUCAGAGCAAAAGAAAUACAUUUUCAAAAGGAAAGCACUUCUCCAGGAAGUGUUUUGUUUGUUUGUUUAGGACACAUUCAGUGUUUUAGAGGAAAACACGUUGGCUUUGUGAAUGGGUAUAUUGUCUUUCCGUAAUGCAAGUGGAAUUCUCAUGCUGAAACAUUUCUCAUUUCUUUAAAUGGCCACACUGGAGGCAUAUGGAAGUUCCUGUGCCAGGGAUUGACUCCAAGCUCCAGCUGCGAUGUGUGCCAGAUCCUUUAACCCACCGUACCUGGCUGGGGAUCAAACCCACACCUCUGCAGUAAACCAAGCCACUUCAGUCAGAUUCUUAACCCACUGCACCACAGCGGGAACUCUGACGGUAGGUGUUCUUUGCUUCCUUCCUCAGUUUCCUUGGGGCUCUCACCACCUUUUGCUGUGGUUGUUGACGACUGUGAUAGCCUUGGUUUACUUAUAUGGCAGCGGCAAUAUUUUAUUUCUCUCUCUGUGUAUGUAUACACACAUACACAUAUGUAUAUAUAUAUAUACACACAUAUGUAGAGAGAAAGAGAGACUUUUUAAUGUUACGACCAAUAGAAGAUGAGCUACAAAUGGGCUUCCCGUCUCUCUUGGCCAUUCUUUUUCAGCGUCCGUAUUUUUUUUUUAAUAUAAUGAUUUUUAUUUUUUUUCGUUAUAGCUUGUUUACAGUGUUCUGUACAGCAUGGUGACUCAGUUACACAUACAUGUAUACAUUCUUUUUUCUCACAUUAUGCUCCAUCAUAAGUGACCAGAUAUAGUUCCUAAUGCUACACAGCAGGAUCUCACUGCUAAUCCAUUCCACAGGCCCUAAAAAAGACCAAAAAAAAAAAAAA
ensembl:lncRNA